UUCUCGUGACACUGUGCCCAGCCCUAUGAGAGCCUUGGCUCAGCUCAAAGCCGGUUGCCUCCAGCUGUCCAGGUUUGGAAAAGCCUGGAAGGCCUCUUAUCAAGGACAGCUCUAUUCUUGCCGAUUCUUGAGAAGGUACAGUCCAGGGGAUCCUAUGGUGGUGUCUCCUUUCGGGACUGUCUGGCUGGACCCUCACGACUGCUUUGCCACGCGAGGAGGAGCCUAGUCCUGCCUUGCCUCGUUAUCUGGGCACCAUCCGGUUGGUGCUACACAGAUCUGGUGAUGUCACUCUUCAGGUGUUGCUUAUUUACACAACCUCUACUGUUUGAGGCGGAGCCCUGGUGACCGCCGCUGGGGCUUGGAGUAAUUACAGCAUUCUGUGGAGAGGUGGAGCCCUCAUCGCAUUCUAGCCAUCUUCCCCAGAAUUGCCUUUGAUCCGGUUCUUUCCUGGGAAAGUAGCCAUUAGAAGAUGUCUAUCUUUGGUUUCAUGGACACGGGAGAGAGAAAUAAGAAUGACAUUGGCAAGGAGCACUUUCAUGUUCUUAGAACUGGCUUCCUCCCAGUCUGUGCCCGGAGUUCUCAGACCCGGAAGGCCUCAGCCUCUGACCCGUGUUCUCAGGGAACCCCCCUGGAGGCCCGGGGCUGAGAUCCUAUGCCAGGAAGGAGGGAGCCAGGGUGAGGUCCCUUCCCCAGGGUGCAUGCUCUCUAGGUGAUCUUCUUCCCCAAGUCUUUCCAGGACUCCUGGGGGACCCCUCUGAAGUAUCCAUGUUACAAAACAAAUGAAAGCACAUUGAUGAGAAUCCAGGAAUCAGUGAAAGUGAAAAUACUUGUCAUCCAUAACCUACAACCCUCCAAUAAUGAGAACACCCACAAAUUUCCUUGUUGCUAUUAUUGACAGAAGUUCUGGCUAAAGAUAAUUGCUAUAUGCUGUAUGUCCAGUUGAGGUCUUACUUUUUUCUCUUUAGAAAAUUUUUAACAACCAUGAAAUAUUCUAUUAAAUAACAGGUCCAAGUUUAUGUAAUCAAACCAUGAUAUUUAAAUUGUUUCUAAGUUACUUGAUGAUGAUCACCUUUUUAAAUAUAGUUCCC
rnacentral:lncRNA from 1 species